rnacentral:rRNA from 1 species
UACGGAGGAUGCAAGCGUUAUCCGGAAUUAUUGGGCGUAAAGCGUCCGCAGGUGGCUGUUCAAGUCUGCUGUCAAAGCGCAGAGCUUGACUCUGUACAGGCGGUGGAAACUGAAGAGCUAGAGUAUGGUAGGGGUAGAGGGAAUUCCCGGUGUAGCGGUGAAAUGCGUAGAUAUCGGGAAGAACACCAGUGGCGAAAGCGCUCUACUGGGCCAUAACUGACACUGAGGGACGAAAGCUAGGGGAGCGAAAGGG